AUUAAGUUUAAUUUAAUAUAUAAUCUGCUCAAUGAAAUUUUAAAUAGCUGCAGUAUUUUGACUGUGCAAAGGUAGCAUAAUAAUUAGUCUUUUAAUUGGGGACUGGAAUGAAAGAUUUGAUGAAAAAUAAACUUUAUUAUUUAUAAAAUUAAAAUUUUAUUUUUAAGUAAAAAAGCUUAAAUUAUUUAAAGGGACGAUAAGACCCUAUAAAACUUUAUAAAUAAUUAUUUUUAAUUUUAAUUGAUCUAUAAAUAAUUAAAUUUAAUUUUUUAUUUUAUUGGGGUGAUAAAAAAAAAUAGAACUUUUUUUAAAUAUAAACAUUAAUUAAUGAAUAUUUGAAUUAAAAUUUUUAAUUAAAGGAAAAAGUUACUUUAGGGAUAACAGCGUAAUUAAUUUUUUAAGUCCAAAUUUAAAAAUUAGUUUGCGACCUCGAUGUUGAAUUAAGAUUAAUCUUAGGUGCAAAAUUUUAAGUUUUAGGUCUGUUCGACCUUUAAAAUCUUACGUGA
rnacentral:rRNA from 1 species